GAAAUUAUUGCAACAAGUUAGUGGGUAGUCACUGCAUUGCAUCCCCAUUUUCAAAAUCCGAUCAUUGGUGGAAGUCACCUACAGGAGAAAUCAAAGAGAAAAGAGAAAGUGCAAACAACAAACUGCAGUGUAAACACACGAGUAGAAAACGUGUUAAUUAUUGGUCAACAUGAUGUUACCAACUCUUUCCCCUCCUCAGCUUUCCAAGAGGUCUCUCUGUUUCUGGUUAACUCCUUCACUUGAAGAACUGAAUCAGCUUCAGUACUCAGGAAGUUGAUCAGAGU
rnacentral:lncRNA from 1 species